AUGCAACCGAGCAACGGGUCGGUGCUGCCGGCGGCGGACUCGCAGGCGAUCGGAGAGCUCUUGGAGCAGGUCAAGGGUACUCCGGGGUCUCUGUGCCGGUCCACAUCAGAGACGAGUAGAGAUCGGUGUAGAGAUGAAUGGUCGUAGCCCAUGACAGGGAAAAUGGCGUUUAUGGAGUCAAGUGACGUAUUCCCCCCUGGCGACUGUUGUGGAUGAUAAAUGUAAGGGCCCUCGUAUGCACGCCAUCCAUAGUUUCCUCCCUUGGUAAUCAAAUCUACCUCUUCAUAUGCAUUCUGCUCAUGUAGGGUAAAAGUCCAAGAAAAAAUGAGAAGGUGAUGCCUGGCAAAGUUCAAGCCAAGGAUCCACGUUUUAUUCAAAAGUCUAUCUUAGUUCUCUUGUUUCAGGAUUACUAAUGGUUAAUGAAAGGAUUUUCAUACUGGAAAA